rnacentral:rRNA from 1 species
GAUGAACGCUAGCGGCAGGCUUAAUACAUGCAAGUCGAGGGGCAGCAGGACGGUAGCAAUACCGUUGCUGGCGACCGGCAAACGAGUGCGGAACACGUACGCAACUUACCCAUAACUGGGGGAUAGCCCGGGGAAACCCGGAUUAAUACCUCGUAACAUUGUGGAGUGGCAUCACUCUACAAUUAUAGCUCCGGCGGUUAUGGAUGGGCGUGCGGCUGAUUAGGUAGUUGGCGGGGUAACGGUCCACCAAGCCUACGAUCAGUAACUGGUGUGAGAGCACGACCAGUCGCACGGGCACGGAGACACGGGCCCGAGUCCUACGGGAGGCAGCAGUAAGGAAUAUUGGUCAAUGGACGAAAGUCUGAACCAGCCAUGCCGCGUGAAGGAUGAAGGUCCUCUGGAUUGUAAACUUCUUUUAUAUGGGACGAAACCUCCUUUUCCAAGGAGACUGACGGUACCAUAGGAAUAAGCACCGGCUAACUCCGUGCCAGCCGCCGCCGUAAUAC